rnacentral:lncRNA from 1 species
CUAUGGUCGGUUUUCCGUUAUUUGGAUAAAUUUAAGCUUGCUAGGUAUAUUUUUAGAAAGUUGAAGUCUGACUGGGGGUAGGUUAAAAAAAAGGUUGAGUGCAUAACACACUACAUGAUUUCUGAAAUGAAAAAAGAAGGCAAUUUUAUACUGGGUUUUAUUUCAUAAUCAAAAUUAAAAUGGAUGGUUAUUUGGUGCUUGCUGAUUUGACGUGAUCUUUGACUGAUC